GACGAACGCUGGCGGCGUGCUUAACACAUGCAAGUCGAACGAAGUGGCGAACGGGUGAGUAACGCGUAAUCAACCUGCCCUUCAGAGGGGGACAACAGUUGGAAACGACUGCUAAUACCGCAUCCUGAAGGAGGUGCUUGCGUCUGAUUAGCGAGUUGGAGGGGUAACGGCUCACCUAGGCGACGAUCCCUAGCUGGUCUGCGAGGAUGACCAGCCACACUGGAACUAUGACACGGUCCAGACGCCUAAGGGAGGCAGCAGUGGGGAAUAGUGGACAAUGGGCGAAAGCCUGAUCCAGCCAUGCCGCGUGUGUGAAGAAGGUCUUCGGAUUGUAAAGCACUUUAAGUUGGGAGGCGUUACCAACAGAAUAAGCACCGGCUAACUUCGUGCCAGCAGCCGCGGUAAUAC
rnacentral:rRNA from 1 species